GGCACCAGUACAGGUGACCAUCGAAACGCAAUACGCCACGGAAUGCUUCGGCAUCGGAUGGUAUGGCGAACUGCGCCGUCCACGUUUCUCUUUCUUCAUGAAGACAAAACCGUAAACCCUUUCAUCGAGAUUGGGCCUGUAGCUCAGUUGGUUAGAGCACACGCNUGAUAAGNCGUGGGG
rnacentral:misc_RNA from 1 species